rnacentral:rRNA from 1 species
CUGGCGGCUGCCUUACCAUGCAAGUCGAACGGUAACAGCUCUUCUGAGGCUGACGAGUGGCGAACGGGUGAGUAAUACAUCGGAACGUGCCCGAUCGUGGGGGAUAACGGAUCGAAAGCUUUGCUAAUACCGCAUACGAUCUACGGAUGAAAGCAGGGGACCCUCGGGCCUUGCGCGAACGGAGCGGCCGAUGGCAGAUUAUGUAGUUGGUGGGAUAAAAGCUUACCAAGCCGACGAUCUGUAGCUGGUCUGAGAGGACGACCAGCCACACUGGGACUGAGACACGGCCCAGACUCCUACGGGAGGCAGCAGUGGGGAAUUUUGGACAAUGGGCGAAAGCCUGAUCCAGCAAUGCCGCGUGCAUGAUGAAGGCCUUCGGGUUGUAAACUGCUUUUGUACGGAACGAAAAGUCUCGGGAUAAUACCCUGGGACCAUGACGGUACCGUAAGAAUAAGCACCGGCUAACUACGUGCCAGCAGCCGCGGUAAU